rnacentral:miRNA from 1 species
CAGCAGCAGCAGCAGUCCUCCU